AAAAAAAAAAAAAAAAAAACAUUUUACAUCGCAGGAAACAGGCAUAUUAUUACUGUUAGUAUAUAUUUCCUGGCCCAACACAAUAUGCUCAAAAUGCAAAUGCUACAGGGAAGAUGCAAAUGCUGUUUGUUGAAGCGGGUCGUCUCGUAUAAUUCAUGAUAUCAUAAAGAUUCUUUAUUAGCAUUAUGUUGUAUAAAAUGUGAAUGAUGAGAAUACUAAAAUGUCAAAAGAGGGGAAGUCCAUGGACAAAAAACAAUGAUCGAAAACAC
rnacentral:lncRNA from 1 species